ACGAACGCUGGCGGCAGGCCUCACACCUGCAAGUCGAGCGCGGACUUCGGUCCUAGCGGCGGACGGGUGAGUAACGCGUGGGAACGUGCCCUUUGCUUCGGAAUAGCCCUGGGAAACUGGGAGUAAUACCGGAUGAGCCCUUUGGGGGAAAGAUUUAUCGGCGAAGGAUCGGCCCGCGUUGGAUUAGGUAGUUGGUGGGGUAAUGGCCUACCAAGCCGACGAUCCAUAGCUGGUUUGAGAGGAUGAUCAGCCACACUGGGACUGAGACACGGCCCAGACUCCUACGGGAGGCAGCAGUGGGGAAUCUUAGACAAUGGGGGAAACCCUGAUCUAGCCAUGCCGCGUGAGCGAUGAAGGCCUUAGGGUUGUAAAGCUCUUUCAGCUGGGAAGAUAAUGACGGUACCAGCAGAAGAAGCCCCGGCUAACUCCGUG
rnacentral:rRNA from 1 species